UGCCAGCAGCCGCGGUAAUACGGAGGGAGCGAGCGUUAAUCGGAAUUACUGGGCGUAAAGCGCGCGUAGGCGGUUUGAUAAGUGGGAUGUGAAAGCCCCGGGCUUAACCUGGGAACUGCAUUCCAAACUGUCAAACUAGAGUAUGGUAGAGGGUGGUAGAAUUUCCUGUGUAGCGGUGAAAUGCGUAGAUAUUGGAAGGAGUACCGGUGGCGAAGGCGGCCUCCUGGACCAAUACUGACGCUGAGGUGCGAAAGCGUAGGGGAGCAAACAGGAUUAGAUA
rnacentral:rRNA from 1 species